GCCUCUGAUGGGGAUAAGACACGCAUCUGCGGAUCUGCCUCCGGUGCUCCACCACCUUUCCAUCAAGCUGCAGUCUUGCUGCGCUGGUCCUGAUGAAAUGCCUGCUCAAGAAGGCACACUUGGUCAAGCAGGAUCUUAAUCAAGUUAACCAAUGCACCCAAGAUUGCCCAUAUCCCCAUCAAACCCUUGCGGCAUUGGUGAUGGGCCAUGCAGUCUAGGCACAGACAGACAGUUUCUGAUAUUAUUCUGAGGAGAUACACAUCCAUGUAUUAUGCGGAACAUGGCUUGAAGAUAGUGCUAAGUAGCUGGAUGCCAAAAUGGAUACAUGUUUUAGUGCUAUGUUUCAGUGUUUUGCAGUCAAUGCUAACUUCGCACGAUUGUUGAAGAUACUUGGCUUUCCUUUUUAUCCUGUAGACUGCUAGGGAAAACAUACAUGUUAUUUGCCAAAGCCUGCUCUGUUGGGGCUCUAAGCACUCUACGACUGCCACCAUCUCAGCUCAGGGUCAGCCUAUACGCCGAUGACGCGGCUCUGUUCAUGUCUCCUUCGGCAGCAGACAUUCAAACUACCAAACAAAUCCUGCUGCUCUUCGGUUCUGCCUCUGGGCUCAAGGCCAAUGUUCAGAAAAGUGUUCUUCUUCAUAUUGCUUGUGAUGAUAUUAAGCUCCAAGAGCUGCUACAGAACUUCCCGGUUCCCAUCAGUCAGUUUCCUUGCAAAUACUUGGGUUUGCCUCUCCACUUCAGGAACAUCACAAGAACGGACAUCCAGCCAACUCUUGUUAAACUGGUACCUAGGCUGCAACGUUGGUGUGGUAAGCUUUUAUCUAGUGAUGCUCGCCUUCAGCUGAUAAACUGGGUACUCUCGGCAAUCCCCGUAUACCUCAUCUCCCUUUUCAAGCUGGAUAACUGAAUCAUCAAACAAAUAGAUAAGCUGAGAAGGAAUUUUCUGUGGCGCUCCAAACCUGACGCUGCGGGUGGCAUGGCUCUUGUGAAUUGGAAAACUGUGUGUCGUGCCAAAGCUCGGGGUGGCUUUGGCGUACUCGGUCUCAGAAGAUUUUGACGUGCCCUGCGACUGUGCUGGAAGUGGUUUGACUGGACUGAUAAGGAUAAGCCUUUGGUCUUGCUCCUCCAUCCCCUGCAUGCGACAAAGAUGACUUGGCUGGCUCUCUUCUCGGCUUCCAGAUAUGUCACUGUUGGCAAUGGUCAGCGCACCAGUUUCUGGUGUGAUCAAUGGCUUGAUGGGCAGGUUCUGCGCUACUCUGCUCCUGACAUCUUCAAGCUCUCUAAGUGCAAGAACAUUUCUGUUGCACACACACUUAAAGAUCAUGGUUGGAUGUUUGGGCUGCAAAGGAUGUCAGUGAUUUCUGAGCUUCGACAACUCACACAAGUCUGGCUACGUCUGAAGCAGGUAUCAUUCCAACCAGAUACUGAUGACACCAUUAGCUGGGUCUGGAACCCCUCCCAGGUGUACACGGCUGCAUCCUCGUACCACUGCCAGUUUCUUUGUUCCUUCUACCACUUACCAUUUGAUAAGCUUUGGAAGGCCCCGGUUCCUGCCAAGUGUCGUUUCUUCAUGUGGCUGUGGCUUCGGGGAAGAAUCCAAACAAAUGACAAUCUGGAGAUUCAUGGCAUUCCCUGUAAUGAUGCAUGCAACCUAUGUGAUCAAGAAGAUGAAUCCCCUUUGCACCUUAUUCUGAAAUGCUCCUAUGCUAGAACAGUUUGGCAGCAGGUUGCGAACUGGAGUGACACCCCUGCUUUGGCCACUCAUCCCCAAGAAACUGAGUCCAUCAUGGAGUGGUCAAACGAGCACACCUGCAACUUGCCCAAGAAACAUGUAUCCACUGCAAUCUGCACUGCAUGGAAUCUAUGGAAAGAGUGUAACAGGCGAGUCCUCGAGCGCAAGUUCUUAAAUGAAGCUGCUCUUUUAUCCACUGAAGAAAGAUACUCCCUCCGUUUUUAUUUAGUUCGCAUAUUAGCUUUGGUCAAAGUCAAGCUUUACAAACUUUGACCAAGUUUAUAUACAAAAAUAUUAAGAUAUACAAUAACAAAUCAACAACAUUAGAUUUAUUAUUAAAUGUACUUUCACAUCGUAUAGGUUUAUUAUGAUAAAUGUCUAUAUUGUUUUCUAUAAACUUGGUCAAACUUUGCGAAGUUUGAUUUCAGUCAACUCUAAUAUGCAGAGUAAAUAAAAACGGAAGGAGUAUAUUGCAACCGACUUUCUCCUUCUGCUGGAUAGCCGAUGUUCAAAAAGCACCAGAACCUGAGCCUGACUAGUUCUGUAUUAGCUUGGUGUGGGACACCUUAACCCCAACCUCUUGUAAAACAAGGAAUUUGUAUUUCUUUUCUCCUACUUAAUAUAUUGGCAGCAAAACUGCCAAAUUCCUCAAAAAAAAAAACAUAGAUGUGAAAAUACU